UGCUGUCCUUUGUAUUAGGAGA
rnacentral:miRNA from 1 species